GCAGCUUGUCCAUGCUCACUGAUGGUUCAUUACCAGGUAUUGAGCACUCCCUGUGUUCUUGGUGUGAUGACUAAAAGAAACAACACGCACAAUCCCUGCACUCAUGGAGCUGAUAUUCUAGGGUGGAAACCAGCAAUAAAAGCAAUAACUAUGCAGCACAGAGGGAGAUCCAGCUAGGCAGGGGUCUGCUGAGCGUUGAGGUUGGGGUGGAAUUUGCAGUCGGGAGGCAGUGAGACUGGAGCCCAGGUCUGGAGGAAGAUGGCGGGCCAGGGAGCUGUGUGACACGGAGUGAAGGCCCAGGGUAGUUGGUAGUGAGUCUCCUUCCCCUCCUCUCCCUGCCCUCCACGGUGUCCAGAUCUGGGCCUGCUCCAUCCAUGCAGCUGCCCAAGAGGUGCUGGGUUGAAUCCAGAGAGGCAGCCCUAUAUGAGAUUGGUAUUCAAUGUUAUGACUGUUAUGAUUUCUUCAUGUGUUUACUCUUCUGUGUAAUAUCACUAAUUUUUCUAACCUCAAACUCUUUGCCAGUUGUCCAAACCUUUUUCAGUAUUUUCAUUCACAUCAAGAUACCAAUUUGAUAUCCUGAACAUCAACAAAAAGGACGUCCACACCAAAACCCCAUCUGUAGACCACCAACAUCAAAGACCGAAAGUAGAUAAAAUCACAAAGAUGGGGAGAAACCAGAGCAGAAAAGCAGAAAAUUCCAAAAAAACAGAGAACCUCUUCUCCUCCAAAGGACCACAGCUCCUCACCAGCAAGGGAACAAAACUGGAUGGAGAAUGAGUUUGACAAGUUGAUAGAAGCGGGCUUCAGAAGGUCAGUAAUAACAAACUUCCAAGCUAAAGGAGCAUGUUGUAACCUAUCGCAAGAAAGCUAAAAACCUUAAAAACAAAAAAAAAGGUUAGAUGCAUGGCUAACUAGAAUAAACAGUGUAGAGAAGAACUUAAAUGACCCGAUGGAGCUGAAAACCACAGCACGAGAACUUUGUGACUCAUGCACAAGUUUCAAUAGCUGAUUCAAUCAAGUGGAAGAAAGGAUAUUAGUGAUUGAAGAUCAAAUUAAUGGAAUAAACUGUGAAGAGAAGAUUAGAGAAAAAAAGAGCCAAAAGAAAUGAACAAAGCCUCCAAGAAAUAUGGGACUUUGUGAAAAGAACAAAUCUACAUUUGAUUGGUGGACCUGAAAGUGACGGUGAGAAUGGAACCAAGUUGGAAAACACUCUUCAGGAUAUUAUCCAGGAGAACUUCCCCAACCUGGCAAGGCAGACCAACAUUCAAAUUCAGGAAAUACAGAGAACACCACAAAGAUACUCCUUGAGGAGAGCAACCCCAAGACACAUAAUUGUCAGAUUCCCCAAGGUUGAAAUGAAGGAAAA
rnacentral:lncRNA from 1 species